GACGUCCAACAGGACUGAACCCGGAACUCCUCCCGUGUCGACUAUUUUUUACGGAGAAUCAAGGAGAAAGCCUCGCCGUUCACGGCGGGGAGGAUGUCAAAGUGCC
rnacentral:misc_RNA from 1 species